UGGGAUGGCGAUUUUUGGAAUUUUAGA
rnacentral:piRNA from 1 species